AGUUUGUUCAGCGCGUGUCAAAUCCUUGAUAAUCUUAAUGUCUUGGAUAUUUUCACAACUGAUCCUUCUAGUAUAUAUAUAACCAGAAAAAGAGUCGUUGCAUAAAGAUGACCGUUGAAGUAGAUAACCUUUUGUCUUCAAGCAGCUUGUCUUGAUGCAGUUGGUUGUUUCUAAAACUGAGUAAGAGUUUCAGACACUUUGACCAUGUGCAGAGAAGACUUUCCUUAUUCAGCUAACAAGUCUGAUGACCCGCGUUCUCAAG
rnacentral:lncRNA from 1 species